rnacentral:rRNA from 1 species
CCUACGGGAGGCAGCAGUGGGGAAUAUUGGGCAAUGGAGGAAACUCUGACCCAGCGACGCCGCGUGAGGGAUGAAGGCCUUCGGGUUGUAAACCUCUUUCAGUAGGGAAGAAGCGAAAGUGACGGUACCUACAGAAGAAGCACCGGCUAACUAUGUGCCAGCAGCCGCGGUGAUACAUAGGGUGCAAGCGUUGUCCGGAAUUAUUGAGCGUAAAGAGCUCGUAGGUGGUUCGAUACGUCGGAUGUGAAAAUCAGGGGCUCAACCCCUGACCUGCAUCCGAUACGGUCGAGCUAGAGUUUGGUAGGGGAGACUGGAAUUCCUGGUGUAGCGGUGGAAUGCGCAGAUAUCAGGAGGAACACCGAUGGCGAAGGCAGGUCUCUGGGCCAAUACUGACACUGAGGAGCGAAAGCGUGGGGAGCGAACAGGAUUAGAUACCCUGGUAGUCCACGCCGUAAACGGUGGGCGCUAGUUGUGCGAACCUUCCACGGUUUGUGCGACGCNGCUACGCAUAGCGCCCGCCGUCGGGAGGUACGAGCGCGAGAAGUUAAACUUAAAGUAGUUAGUUAGUAGNGUUGAGAGNGCGACGGACGACGACGAGGGAGGAGG